UCUGUUUUUUAAAUGUAGCAUGAAAGUUAACCAUUUAUUGACUGUUUAGAGGUUGUAAGGCUUUUACCUAACUGUAUUUAGUAUUAAUGAUGCUGCAUUCUUUCCUCAGAAGCUAAUGUUUUUCAAAGACAUUUGUAGGGAGGACUUUGCAGCUAAUGGAGCUGAAGUAUUUUAUGUAAGGAGGAUUUUGCAGCCCAUAUAGAUUUCCUUAGGCUGAACCAAAACCUGCCAGACUAAAGUUGAUUUGGGAGAGAAAGACGUUGUAAACUCAAUCAUCUUGACAUUCUUCAAUGAGUAAUUGUUCAAUUUUUAGGCAAAUACUGUACACUUUGAAUGCUGUGAAUAAAACUAUAUUUUAAAUAUAUUUAAAAUGAAUUGUUUUUGACUGUUUUAAUCAGCUUUUAUUUAUUUGGAAAAAAUUAUUUUGGUUAUGUUACCAGCUAAAGUAAUCUAUUCCCAAAAUAGCACUCUUUAAGUUAACUAAUUAUUAACGCACUUGAAGUA